UUUAGUAUUUUUGCACAAGUUUUUUUGUGUUUUUUUCUGGUCUGAAUUCAUUUUAAUUUCGCUUAUUUCUCUAUCACUAACUUCAACAAAACGGCUAGCCGCCAUUUUGAAAUUUCCGAUUUUGUUAUAUUCACCUGUAGGUGAAUAUAACAGCUUAAUACGUCAAAUUUGACCAAUCACCUUGUAGGAUUUGUUAUGUUCACUUGUGCACUUUGUUUCAUAUGCAAGUAUCACCGGCGUCACAUCACAUAAUGAGUUUUCAGAAAAGUGUAGUUUUCUUGACGAAUACGUAUCUAAAAAACUUAAAAAUUGCCCUUGUAUAUGUAUUAAUUUCAUAACUGGUAAUUAACCCUC